UUUCUCUUUUUUUCAUUCACACUUCUAUGAACCCAACACAUAACUGAACAUGGCUUUCAGUUAUCACAAAGUUUCAAUUGCAACUUAUUGAUUGAGGAUCACUAUGUGUUGUUUAUAUAUGUUGAAAACAGUCAUAUAUUUUGCCUUGAACCCUUAAAACUCAAAAGUUUGACGGGUACUGGUUCAGAAAUCCGCUCAUGUGCAUCCCCCGCCUUCAAAUCUUGAAUGCACCUUUGCACUCUAUCACUGGUCCCCACCCCACACUCAUAACUCCUACCCCCACCAUCUCUAUCCCCUUUCCAACUCCCAUAGUUCUCUUAAUACCUUUAAGGGUCGUUUUGACCGCGGGAUGAGAUAAGUAAGGAUACCUCAUGAUAUUAUUUUAUGUGAGAUAGUGAUCCCGCCAUUUACAGUACUAGGAUAAGAUAAUACCUCAAACCAUACAUGACAUAAAUUAAAUCACAAAUUUUAUUCUGAAAUUGUUAUUCUUAUCCCACAUAUCAAAUGAUCCCAUCUGACCAAAUAGAAAUCUCACUAAUUUGAUUUAUUACUAGUGGGCUUAUCUGAACACCUUUACAGUUGUAUUGGAUUUCAAAGCUACAAGGUUUAUGUAUGAUUAGAUGAGGUUCCUAUUUCGUCUGAGCUGCAAAGGUUUUAAGCAAAGUAGAAAAUAACGAGGGGUAAAUGAAUUUUACGUGUAACUUAUGUCUUUCCUUUUAAUCAAUAAACAUAAUUUGUGAAAUGUGGUCUAUAAAUAAUCACAUGCGAUGCACGUAUGCUACAUGACAAAGCGCAUUACUUUUCACCUUUUAAGGAAAGGUCUAAGGUUUCUGUCUUGAAAAUGAGAAAAACACAGGCAAGGAAUGUUUCUCCUUUAUUGAACGGGAAUUUAAAUUAGUCAAGCCUUAAAAUAAAUUGGAACUAAAAAGAAAAGGAAACAUGGAGGUACACUUGAGUCAAUUUAACAAUCAAAAAAGCAAACCAAAGUAAUCAAUCCACCUUAGUGGGCUCUUCUCAUCACCUCCACAACUUUAGUAUGAUAUUUUUUUCACCACUAACUUUGUGAAUGUGUGUCUGAUUCUUAUUUUCUACUUAUUAUUGAAUUUCCUCUUUAGCCAUUUACCGAAUCCCAUCUUUUACUAUCUCACACAGCUUAAUCCUGGGUGGUUUUUAGUCAACUUUAAAGAUCUUGAGAACUAGUGAAAACUUCAUACAUGGAAAGAGGAAAAGAAAAAGAAGGAGAAAGAGAGGACCGGAAAGCAAACAACUCAUCGGUGUCAUCUGCUGUGCUUCGAGAGGACAUUGCCAAUCUUCGUGAUUUCAUAGAGAGGUUAAUGAUUGAAGAGGAUCAAGCUGUUCUUGACAUGGAUCAAAUUGCAAAGCUGAAAUUGGAGCUGACUUUUUUGUCGGCAUGUUUACAGCUUUCUUAUUACAUUUCGGAUGGUUUUAAUGACGAAAUGUCUUGCAUAUCGUAUGAGGUUCAUGAUCUCGUUCAAUCACUUUUUCAUCAGAGUGGAGAUGACAUUUUGGUUAAAUUAAAGGAUCAUGUUGUUCCUCGCCUUCUUGAAAAUAUCAAAAGUUGUAAAAUCUCAAAUCAUCAUUCUGAAUCAAGUGCCACCAUGACUGAUGAUCAGUUGGUUGAACUCCUGGAUGCACUUCUUGUGAAUCUCCAUUAUCUACCCAAGGUUCAUGCUGAGUUGCUCUUGCCAUUAAGAAGGACCGAAUAUGAGCUUCUUCAGAAUGUUUUUGGCAAUUUAAGAGAUUUUCAUGAUCUGAUAGUAAACGGUUGCAUUGAGCGUAAGACAAUUGAAUGAGUCUUACCUAUGUUUGAACUAAUGGCUGAGAGAGUAGGACACUUCUGUUUUGUGUUUUUGUCUUAUCAACUUGAUAAAGCAGAUGAAAAAAAUGAAAAUAAAGAAGAUGAAUAUGAAGUCUAUUCCAUGCUAGUCCAUCUACUUUUGAAGAUAAUUCCGAUUUCCCUGGAGGUUAUGCACAUAUGUUCUACAAAUUUGAAAGCUUCAAAGUCAGCUGAAGUUGGCCGCUUCAUUAAGAAGCUCCUACAAGCCUCUCCAGACAUUCUUAGAGAAUAUCUGAUUCAUCUACAACAACACAUGGUUAAUUCUAUUACUCCUAGCACCUCAGCACGAAAUAUUCAUGUCAUGAUCGAGUUCCUAUUGAUUAUUCUUACUGAUGUGUCCAAGGACGUUAUUCGUCAAGACAAAUUGUUUGUUCUCUUGGAACGUGUUGGGGUGUCCAUAUUUAUUCGCAACUUAGAAGAGAACUCAACGAAUGAAGAGAAUAUGAAAAAAAUAAGUUGUGAAAGUCUAGACUUGUUGGAAAAUAUUGAACAUUUGAAGAAAGAUCUCAAACAUGUUUUCUUGAAAGCCCCUGCAGACUCAUCUCAGCUCUGCUUCCCCAUGAGUGAUGGACCGCUCUUCAUCACUCUUCUACUCAGAAAUUUAAAUGACUUUCUCAUUUCCAAUGCUUAGUCAGUUGUUCUGAUAGAAGAAGAAAUCAGUUGGGUGAAAGAAGACUUAGAACACAUAAGAUCGUUCUUUGGGAAUGUGGAGCAAGAAUUGCGUAGAGAUCCUUGGACUCGUGUUCUAGAUGUGACAUAUGAGGCGGAACAUGACAUUAACUCAAUUCUUGCCAGAGAUCAUAGUCUAUUUCAUCUUAUCUUCCUACUUCCUACUACCGCAGAAAAGAUCAAGCUUGUCAAAAAAGAGUUACAAGAGAAGAUCUCCAAGAACACGAGUAUCAAUUUUGCAAACUCUCACAACAAGCCAGUUGUAAACAAGUUAUCAAUAGCUAGUAAAAUAAUUGUAGGUUUUGAGGAAGAGACAGAAUUGAUAACUAGGAAGCUCACCAGUGGACCAUCUGAGGUAGAUGUCAUUUCCAUAGUCGGCAUGCCAGGACUUGGAAAAACUACUUUGGCUUACAGAAUUUAUAAUGAUAAGUCUGUUAUUGGUCAUUUUGACGUUCGUGCUUGGUGCACAGUUGACCAGGAACUUAAUGAGAAAAAGUUGUUGCAAAAAAUUUUCAUUCAAGUUAUUGGUUUGAAAGGAAGUUUCAAUGAGGACCGCAUAGAUAAUGACGUUGUUGAUAAGCUACAGAAAGAUCUGUUUGGAAAGAGGUACCUUAUUGUGUUGGAUGACUUAUGGGAUACUGCAACAUGGGAUGAGCUAACAAGACCAUUAUAUACCAUCCCAUCUGAAUUUCAUAAAGGAAGCAGAGUUAUUUUAACUAGUCGAAAAAAAGAUGUGGCUUUGCAUGGAAAAUGCUACAGUGCUCCUCUUGAUCUUCGAUUUCUAAGACCAGAAGAAAGUUGGGAGUUGUUAGAGAAAAGGGUAUUCGGAGAAGACCAUUGCCCUGAUGAACUAAAGGAUGUUGGAGAAAAAAUAGCCCAAAAGUGUGAUGGGCUUCCUUUGGUACUUGAUUUGAUUGGCGGAGUCAUUUCAAGGAAGGAAAAGAAGUAUUCCAAAUGUUUAUCGAAACGUACCUCAAUUACCAGUUUCAUUUUUAUGGAUGAAGAGGAAGUGAUGAAGGUUAUACAAUUAAGUUAUGACCAUUUGUCAGAUCACCUAAAGCCGUGUUUUUUGUACCUUGCAAGUUAUCCAAAGGACGAGGAUAUUGAUAUCUCUUUGUUGUAAUAUUUAUGGAGUAAUGAAGGACUUGUGGGACCAAUUGAUUUGAAGAGUGUCGAAGAAGUAACGGAAGUUUAUGAAAAUGAGUUAAUUUCUAGUAGCUUGGUAAUAGUGAGAGGUGGUAGGCACACGAGUUGCCAAAUUCAUGAUCUUGUGCAUGAUUUUUGUUCGAUAAAAGUUAGAAUGGAAAAGUUGUUUGACUUGAUGAGUUCAAUUUUUCUGUCUUCCUCCUCUUCUUCCCAUCUGAUGCUGCGUAGAAGGACCAUUAUUUAUGAUGAAUACUUUCAUUCGGGUGAUACUUUUUCCUUGUUCAGUCCAGAAAAGAGAAAUCCUUCUAUUAAAUACCUCCUAUCUUUGGAACUUAAAUACAUCUGUCUUCCCCCCAUCUGUCACCUAAGACAUCUGAGGCUUCUGAAAAGGUUGGAUCUGUGGGGUAUAAUUUUGCCAGAUACUUUGCGGAAUGAAAUAGGCAUGCUUGUUCAUUUGAGGGGCUUAAUCAGUCAGAUGAAGGCAAAAUCUCUCCCUCCAUCAUUUUCAAACCUCUGCAAUCUAGAAACUCUGGUGGUGGAUAACCGUGGAUCUAACCUUUUAUUAUCCCCUACUAUCUGGAGUCUUGCAAAGCUACGAUAUGUGGACAUCGAAUACACUUGUUCUGUCUUUCAUUCAGACAUUGACCAACCAGCAAAGUUAGAGAAUAUGACAUCAUUAAAGUGUCUCCUGCUUUCUUAUGCGGUAGACUCGGAGGAUAUUUUCAAAUGGUUGCCCAAUCUUCAAACCCUUGAAUUCAUCAUGUUUUGUUCGGCAGAAGAGCAGAUUUAUUUUCCAAGAUUGGAUGUCCUUAAUAAACUUGAAAAAGUUAAAGCAGAAUUAUGGUGCAGUGGGCCUAAACAUGUACAUCAGUUUGAUUUUCACUUCCCUUUGUGCUAGAAAGAAGUUGAAUUGAAUGGGUUCGAUCUGACAUCAGAUGAACUGUCAAGAAUUGGGAGAUCAUUAACCAACCUUCAAAAGCUGAGACUAUCGAAUGCAAGCAUCCAGGGUGGAAAAGAAUGGAACAUGGAACAAGUCACCUUCCACAAUCUCAAAUCUCUAGCACUGUUUGAGGUGUCUUUUCUUGAAUGGCAGGCUACUGGAAUGGAUCGUUUCUGCCAACGAAAUGAACGCGGAUUCUCGCGAAGAGAAUAAGAUGCUGAUGAUUCUUUUCCUGUGCUUGAGGAAUUAGAAAUAAUAUAUUGUGCUGAGAUUAUAGAGAUCCCCGAGAGUUUUGGUGAUAUUGCUUCAUUAAAGUCCAUUGUAGUGUGGGAAAGCCCUCGGGCUGAAGAGUCGGCACUCAAGAUGAAGAAAUAUAUUGAAGAAAUUGCUGGAGAAGACAGGCUUGAUGUACAGUUUUGGUAA